rnacentral:rRNA from 1 species
CUCCGGUUGAUCCUGCCGGACCCGACUGCUAUCAGAGUGGGACUAAGCCAUGCGAGUCAACAUAGCAAUAUGUGGCAUACGGCUCAGUAACACGUAGUCAACAUGCCCAGGGGACGUGGAUAACCUCGGGAAACUGAGGAUAAACCGCGAUAGGUCAUCACUUCUGGAAUGGGUAAUGACUUAAAUCUAUAUGGCCCCUGGAUUGGACUGCGGCCGAUCAGGCUGUUGGUGAGGUAAUGGCCCACCAAACCUGUAACCGGUACGGGCUCUGAGAGGAGGAGCCCGGAGAUGGGCACUGAGACAAGGGCCCAGGCCCUAUGGGGCGCAGCAGGCGCGAAACCUCUGCAAUAGGCGAAAGCUUGACAGGGUUACUCUGAGUGAUUUCCGUUAAGGAGAUCUUUUGGCACCUCUAAAAAUGGUGCAGAAUAAGGGGUGGGCAAGUCUGGUGUCAGCCGCCGCGGUAAUACCAGCACCCCGAGUGGUCGGGACGUUUAUUGGGCCUAAAGCAUCCGUAGCCGGUUCUACAAGUCUUCCGUUAAAUCCACCUGCUUAACAGAUGGGCUGCGGAAGAUACUAUAGAGCUAGGAGGCGGGAGAGGCAAGCGGUACUCGAUGGGUAGGGGUAAAAUCCGUUGAUCCAUUGAAGACCACCAGUGGCGAAGGCGGCUUGCCAGAACGCGCUCGACGGUGAGGGAUGAAAGCUGGGGGAGCAAACCGGAUUAGAUACCCGGGUAGUCCCAGCUGUAAACGAUGCAGACUCGGUGAUGAGUUGGCUUAUUGCUAACUCAGUGCCGCAGGGAAGCCGUUAAGUUUGCCGCCUGGGGAGUACGGUCGCAAGACUGAAACUUAAAGGAAUUGGCGGGGGAGCA